AUGAAUGAAUUAACGAACAAAAAAAAAAAAAGUCUGUAUGAAACUAAGAAUGGAAUGUGUGCAACGAUAGAAUCUGCCUUUUAUGUGUCCACUUCUUCACAAUCUCCAUUUCUUUGGAGCCAUCCUUUAAACAAAAGCAAGGUGAAAAAAAAAAAAAAAAAAGCAAGGUGAUUUCUUAGGUAGACCCAGAGCUUAGGCCAAGUAAUAAGAAUUAUAAAUUUUCUGCUGAUAUAAAUCCUCGUUGUUCAUCUUUUCAUCUUUCCUAAAGGUUGGACUUUCUAUAACAUGCUGUAUAACAAAAUAAAAACUUGAUUUAAUUGAAAAAAAAAAAAAAAAAAAAAAAAAAGAAGUGAAUUGCAACCAAAAAUUUCAUCAUAUUGAAUGCAGUAAUUUAUUAACAGAAAUAAAUAAAUUGAGUAGAAGUAAUGAAUAGGCUCCUGGAUUGUUUGAUAACCCAAUUAAUAGAAAGGAGUGAAUCAUAUAAAUACAUUGGAAAAAAUUAAAUAUCUUGAUUACUUGACACGAAAUACUGACAUCAAUAAAUAUAAUAUAAAUUUAUAGGGAUCCCUGGGUGGCGCAGCGGUUUGGCGCCUGCCUUUGGCCCAGGGGCGAUCCUGGAGACCCGGGAUCGAUUCCCACAUCGGGCUCCCGGUGCAUGGAGCCUGCUUCUCCCUCUGCCUGUGUCUCUGCCUCUCUCUCUCUCUGUGACUAUCAUAAAUAAAUAAAAAUUAAAAAAAAAUAAUAUAAAUUUAUAAUACAUCACUACAAUGAGGACAUCUAUGACAAAUUGGUUAAUGAGUGUCAUUAAUUCAAAGUGUUUAAAUUAGACACUGUAUAAAAAAACUUGAAAUCCUCUAAAAACAUAAGGAUCAUAUAUGCAAAAAAACUUAAUAGAAGAUUUUCCAACUUUGACAACAACCUCAGCAAUUUAUAUGGCAUUGCCAAUAAGUUGUAAAGCUUCAAGAAAUGUUUCUAAACUAUUUUAAUCAAAAUAGUUUUAAAACAAAACAAAAAACAAAACUAAAUUUUAAUCAAUUAUGGUCGUAGAGCAAAAACUAAAUUAUCUUCCUAUUC
rnacentral:lncRNA from 1 species